rnacentral:rRNA from 1 species
UACGGAGGGUGCAAGCGUUGUUCGGAAUCACUGGGCGUAAAGGGCGCGUAGGCGGCCUGAUAAGUCGGGGGUGAAAGCCUGUGGCUCAACCACAGAAUUGCCUUCGAUACUGUUAGGCUUGAGACCGGAAGAGGUAAGUGGAACUGCGAGUGUAGAGGUGAAAUUCGUAGAUAUUCGCAAGAACACCAGUGGCGAAGGCGGCUUACUGGUCCGGAUCUGACGCUGAGGCGCGAAAGCGUGGGGAGCAAACAGG